UGGUGGCGAGCGGCGGACGGGUGAGUAAUGCCUAGGAAUCUGCCUGGUAGUGGGGGAUAACGCUCGGAAACGGACGCUAAUACCGCAUACGUCCUACGGGAGAAAGCAGGGGACCUUCGGGCCUUGCGCUAUCAGAUGAGCCUAGGUCGGAUUAGCUAGUUGGUGAGGUAAUGGCUCACCAAGGCGACGAUCCGUAACUGGUCUGAGAGGAUGAUCAGUCACACUGGAACUGAGACACGGUCCAGACUCCUACGGGAGGCAGCAGUGGGGAAUAUUGGACAAUGGGCGAAAGCCUGAUCCAGCCAUGCCGCGUGUGUGAAGAAGGUCUUCGGAUUGUAAAGCACUUUAAGUUGGGAGGAAGGGCAGUUACCUAAUACGUGAUUGUUUUGACGUUACCGACAGAAUAAGCACCGGCUAACUCUGUGCCAGCAGCCGCGGUAAUACAGAGGGUGCAAGCGUUAAUCGGAAUUACUGGGCGUAAAGCGCGCGUAGGUGGUUUGUUAAGUUGGAUGUGAAAUCCCCGGGCUCAACCUGGGAACUGCAUCCAAAACUGGCAAGCUAGAGUAUGGUAGAGGGUGGUGGAAUUUCCUGUGUAGCGGUGAAAUGCGUAGAUAUAGGAAGGAACACCAGUGGCGAAGGCGACCACCUGGACUGAUACUGACACUG
rnacentral:rRNA from 1 species